UGCAGCGGUUAUUUGAGCACAGGUCAAAAUCCUCCGCGUCGGCGUAAAUCCCUCUUCCAGCUCAGCCCCCAGAGAAAGCUUCGGAAACCCUCCACGUCGUGCAGCAUCCCGACAAGCGGCCCGUGCCAGCGCCCAUCCCCGUACACAGCACACCCGCUCUGGUCAAUCUGACAUUCUGAAAUGGUCUGAAGAGCAAGACAAACCACUUUGUUUAUUUGGGAACGGGUCUGCUAACCAGUACGGCACCGCUUCAUCCCUACAUCACACCUUCUGCCACUCUGCACAGAAAUCAACCCACGGGGCUCUGCUCCGGCACCGGCACGGGAGGGCACGAGAUUAGAUCUGGUCGCACGGGCUGGAAGUUGCACAGAAACCCGUGCAGCAAUCCGGGAAAUGCCAGUUAAUAAUUUGCAGACCGUUUUACGGGGAUGUUGCCCUGUGUCGGGUGGAAGGUCUCGUUGCAGGAAGGGUCUGUGUCCCCACCUUCCCCCUCUGGCCUCCACUCUGUGCGGAGGGGUGCAGCGGCUGCCCCCCCGAAUGGGGUCCCCCUUCCCAUGGGAGCAUUUUAACUCGAGCUUUCCUUGAUCGAAAGGCUACCGAACCGCCCGGGCCUGAGUUAUCCUUGGGUUAUGCUGUUCUUGCAAUGUAAUUCUGAAAUAAAGCCACUUACGUAAAGCACGCUAGCCGAACCCCAGCCCCUGAGAUUAAAAGCCAUUUCUGCAAGCGGCCACACCGCCGACACGCCGCAGCGGAGGGCUGGGGGGAGCACGGUGACAGGAGGUCCCAAAAAUCCUGAUAUAAAUAAAUAAG